rnacentral:rRNA from 1 species
UACGGGGGGAGCAAGCGUUGUUCGGAUUUACUGGGCGUAAAGGGCGCGUAGGCGGCGUGACAAGUCACUUGUGAAAUCUCCGGGCUUAACCCGGAACGGUCAAGUGAUACUGUCGUGCUAGAGUACAGAAGGGGCAACUGGAAUUCUCGGUGUAGCGGUGAAAUGCGUAGAUAUCGAGAGGAACACCUGCGGCGAAGGCGGGUUGCUGGGCUGACACUGACGCUGAAGCGCGAAAGCUAGGGGAGCGAACGGG